GUACCUAAAGUCCGGUAACCCGUAAAGGAGCCGCCUAGGUAAACUAGUAACUGGGGCU
rnacentral:rRNA from 1 species